GAUGAACGCUGGCGGCGUGCCUAAUACAUGCAAGUCGAGCGAACAGACGAGGAGCUUGCUCCUCUGACGUUAGCGGCGGACGGGUGAGUAACACGUGGAUAACCUACCUAUAAGACUGGGAUAACUUCGGGAAACCGGAGCUAAUACCGGAUAAUAUAUUGAACCGCAUGGUUCAAUAGUGAAAGACGGUUUUGCUGCCACUUAUAGAUGGAUCCGCGCCGCAUUAGCUAGUUGGUAAGGUAACGGCUUACCAAGGCAACGAUGCGUAGCCGACCGGAGGGGGUGAUCGGCCACACUGGAACUUAGACGCGGUCCAGACUCCUACGAGAGGCAGCAGUAGGGAAUCUUCCGCAAUGGGCGAAAGCCUGACGGAGCAACGCCGCGUGAGAGAUGAAGGUCUUCGGAUCGUAAAACUCUGUUAUUAGGGAAGAACAAAUGUGUAAGUAACUAUGCACGUCUUGACGGUACCUAAUCAGAAAGCCACGGCUAACUACGUG
rnacentral:rRNA from 1 species